rnacentral:rRNA from 1 species
GCCUACGGGGGGCAGCAGUGGGGAAUAUUGCACAAUGGGGGAAACCCUGAUGCAGCAACGCCGCGUGAGUGAUGAAGGCCUUCGGGUUGUAAAGCUCUGUCUUCAGGGACGAUAAUGACGGUACCUGAGGAGGAAGCCACGGCUAACUACGUGCCAGCAGCCGCGGUAAUACGUAGGUGGCAAGCGUUGUCCGGAUUUACUGGGCGUAAAGGGAGCGUAGGCGGAUACUUAAGUGGGAUGUGAAAUACCUGGGCUUAACUUGGGUGCUGCAUUCCAAACUGGGUGUCUAGAGUGUUGGAGAGGAAAGUGGAAUUCCUAGUGUAGCGGUGAAAUGCGUAGAGAUUAGGAAGAACACCAGUGGCGAAGGCGACUUUCUGGACAAUAACUGACGCUGAGGCUCGAAAGCGUGGGGAGCAAACAGGAUUAGAUACCCCAGUAGUCAGG